CGGGCUAGCUCAGCUGGUAGAGCACCGGCCUUUUAAGCCGAGGGUCGGGGGUUCGAUUCCCCCGCGACUCAA
rnacentral:tRNA from 1 species